UACGUAGGGUGCAAGCGUUGUCCGGAAUUAUUGGGCGUAAAGAGCUCGUAGGCGGUCUGUCGCGUCUGCUGUGAAAACUCAGGGCUUAACCCUGAGCUUGCAGUGGGUACGGGCAGACUAGAGUGCGGUAGGGGAGACUGGAAUUCCUGGUGUAGCGGUGAAAUGCGCAGAUAUCAAGAGGAACACCGGUGGCGAAGGCGGAUCUCUGGGCCGAUACUGACGCUGGAGGAGCGAAAGCGUAGGGAGCGAACAGG
rnacentral:rRNA from 1 species